CUAUUAGAUUACUUAGAGAGACUAAGUUGAUUGAAAAUGAUAUUGAUGGUAAGAUUGAGAAUAUUGUUGGAUUAAUAGAUUCUAUUAAUGUAAAGUGUGACGAUCUAAAGUAUAACUUUAAUACAUUUUAUUCCGAUAUGUAUAAUAGACAACUUGAUUUUAAGGAAGAUUUGCUUGUUAACUCAACUGUACAUGCUAAUAAUCCUUCUUCUGGGCUACUAAAUAAUGUAUUUAAUAGUGGAAAACAACUGCAUUGUCAUAAAAUUGAUAAUUUAAUUAAUUCUGAUCUAAAUAAUAAUAAUGGGGAUGAUCAUUUGAAUCAUUUGAGGGAUAAUAUAAAUGUAACGUAACUGGUUGAUAACGAUAUUGCAUUUGUAGAGAAUUGUGCUACUAAUACAGGAGAGACUAUUAGACAGGAUUAGGAUGGAACUGUUACUCUUGCUCCUAAACAAAAUUGGACAGGGUUGAUUUGUUUUAAGUUUAUUGAUGAUAGAUCUUCUUUAAUAAAAACUUCUGAAUUGGAGAAUGAAGAAUGACUUGAAAACUUAGUUGUCAUGAUAUCUCUUGUGAGAUUCAUGGAGCAUCUCCUCCAGUAUUGGUUCCAGCAUGGAAUAAUUUUCAAGCUAACUACGAAAAGUUAUUUAUAUCUCAAGAUUAUCUCCCAAGACAACAAUGGACAAAAUUAAAAAAUUUAUUCAUUAUUAGUUUAAGACUGGUACAGACUCGAUUCCGUAAUAGCCGCUUUAAGGCAUAUCCUCUUGGUG
rnacentral:lncRNA from 1 species